AACUGAAGAGUUUGAUCAUGGCUCAGAUUGAACGCUGGCGGCAGGCUUAACACAUGCAAGUCGAGCGGGGGAAGGUAGCUUGCUACUGGACCUAGCGGCGGACGGGUGAGUAAUGCUUAGGAAUCUGCCUAUUAGUGGGGGACAACAUCUCGAAAGGGAUGCUAAUACCGCAUACGUCCUACGGGAGAAAGCAGGGGAUCUUCGGACCUUGCGCUAAUAGAUGAGCCUAAGUCGGAUUAGCUAGU
rnacentral:rRNA from 1 species